UACGUAGGGUGCGAGCGUUGUCCGGAAUUAUUGGGCGUAAAGAGCUCGUAGGCGGUGUGUCACGUCGGCCGUGAAAACCUGCAGCUUAACUGUGGGCGUGCGGUCGAUACGGGCAUCACUGGAGUUCGGCAGGGGAGACUGGAAUUCCUGGUGUAGCGGUGAAAUGCGCAGAUAUCAGGAGGAACACCGGUGGCGAAGGCGGCUAUCUGGACAGAGUCUGACGCUGAGGCGCGAAAGCCUAGGGGAGCAAAC
rnacentral:rRNA from 1 species